UCCUUCUUAGCUCAGUUGGUAGAGCGCGUCACUAGUAACUUGGUCUAUAUGACGAGGUCAGUCGUUCAAGUCGGCUAGAAGGAA